rnacentral:lncRNA from 1 species
GGGCUGUUGCUAGUAUAAAUACCCCCUAAGACUCAUUGUAAUCCAAGACUUUUGAUAUUGAGAAUACAAACCACUUUGUUCAGCUGUGUGCUAACAAAUUCAGAGAGAGAUCUCUACCCCUUUGCUCUUGUGUUUUCCUUCGCGGAGAUUACAGAAGCGGCCGCGUCAUCGGCACCCAAUCCGUGCUCCUGAUCCUCGAGUUUAGGUUGCGUAGGUUGGUUCUUUGAGAGUGUGGUUGGGCGAAUCCUUGGUUCAGACUGCCGUAUAGAGACGGUGGUUGGCUCCUUGUGCGUGUCGUCAGGUUGCACUAGUUAUCCUCGCUGCUUGCAGCAAGUUAUCGGCGGACAACGACCUCACCAUCUGGUAUCAAAGCUCAAGUUUCCACGGUAGGAUUUUUACCCUUAGCUACAUAUAUAUGUCUUGUUCGUCCUAUCCACCAAAAAGCCAUAAAAAAAUUGCAUUAGCCCUUUGUUUCAAUCUGUUUUUCUUGUGAGUUUGGUUAAGUUUCAGUCCAUUAGAGUUUUGUUUAGUUGCUGAUCAUCAUAUCCUUUGUGUGUCCUUUGUGCCUCUUUUAUAUCUACAAAUCCCUAAAGAAAAUCUGAAACCGGUAUCAUCCUUCGCGUAAACUUUGAGCCUAUCAAGUUAGAACGCUGACGGUUGUGUCUUGUUUCAAAAAAAAGUGUGUGUAAGUGUUAUAUCUGCUCUUGUUCUUAGUUAUAAAAAAACAAAGUAUCAAAAAAAAGGAAAGUGAAAAAAAAGAGAGUUGAGGAAGAAAAGUUGUGAAGAAAGAGUAGAAAAUUCACUUUGUUUGUGUGCUCAAGUUCUGAAUUUUAUAUCAAGUCACACAAUCAGUCAUUAUCCAUCUUUGGUGCAAAAUUUUGCUUGGGUUUGAUUGCAACACUUGCAUCCUAGGCAUACUCCUUGUUUGCAUCAAAUCUGAAUUUUCUUUGCGCGUGUGUUUGAUCUAUUUACAUCACUCAUAUCUUGUGGUCAGCACUAGGCAUUGAACUUCUAGUUUGGAUUGUGGUUUAACUUUACAAUAUCAAGAAUUCAGACUGCAUUCCUUGUGAAAUAUAUCCCCACCAAGCUCCACAAAUAACCCACCGUCAUAGGAAAAUACUGAUCUUGGAUUCUCUCAACCAUCAUUCUCGGUUACCACCUCGCAUUGGCCGUUGUAAUCUGCGGGGAACUCACAUGAGCUUCGGUUGGUAAGAGAGGUGAGAUUGUGAGAUUCCACAUAUAAUUCCCUAUUCUACAUAUAUUGUUGCUUUGCCUUCACUAAUUUUUUACAGCAAGAUGUCUGAGCAUCCGGAGAUUGAUGAUUGUGUCACCAUGACACAAUUCGAUGAGAUGAAACAAAGCAUGGAGACGCUAACAAACAAUGUUCAAGCACUCAUGAACCGGUUGCAAAUUCAUCCUCAUGAUAAUGCAAAUGACAGUCACUAUGAGGAUGAAGAAGAAGAGGAUGAACAGCCCCAUUAUGAUGAUCGUCGUCACCGAAGAAAUCAUAGGCGUAAUCAGCACAAUGAAGAGAGGUUUGGCAAGUUAAAAUUCACCAUGCCCCAG